GUAAUUGUGGCCGAGUGGUUAAGGUGCUGGAUUAGAAAUCUAUUGGGGUUUCCCUGCGCAGGUUCGAAUCCUGCCAACUACA